rnacentral:rRNA from 1 species
GCGGCCUAUCAGCUUGUUGGUGAGGUAAUGGCUCACCAAGGCGACGACGGGUAGCCGGCCUGAGAGGGCGACCGGCCACACUGGGACUGAGACACGGCCCAGACUCCUACGGGAGGCAGCAGUGGGGAAUAUUGGGCAAUGGAGGAAACUCUGACCCAGCGACGCCGCGCGCGGGAUGAAGGCCUUCGGGUUGUAAACCGCUUUCAGUAGGGAAGAAGCGAAAGUGACGGUACCUACAGAAGAAGCACCGGCUAACUAUGUGCCAGCAGCCGCGGUAAUACAUAGGGUGCAAGCGUUGUCCGGAAUUAUUGGGCGUAAAGAGCUCGUAGGUGGUUCGUUACGUCGGAUGUGAAAAUCUGGGGCUCAACCCCAGACCUGCAUCCGAUACGGUCGAGCUAGAGUUUGGUAGGGGAGACUGGAAUUCCU